GUCGACGAUACCUUCGGGUAUAGUGGCGCACGGGUGAGUAACACGUGGGAAUAUACCUUUCAGUGGGGGAUAGCAUCGGGAAGCUGAUGCUAAUACCGCAUACGCCCUUAGGGGGAAAGAUUUAUCGCUGAAAGAUUAGCCCGCGUCCGAUUAGCUAGUUGGUGAGGUAAUGGCUCACCAAGGCGACGAUCGGUAGCUGGUCUGAGAGGAUGACCAGCCACACUGGGACUGAGACACGGCCCAGACUCCUACGGGAGGCAGCAGUGGGGAAUAUUGGACAAUGGGCGCAAGCCUGAUCCAGCCAUGCCGCGUGAGUGAUGAAGGCCUUAGGGUUGUAAAGCUCUUUCGACGGGGACGAUGAUGACGGUACCCGUAGAAGAAGCCCCGGCUAACUUCGUGCCAGCAGCCGCGGUAAUACGAAGGGGGCUAGCGUUGUUCGGAAUUACUGGGCGUAAAGCGCACGCAGGCGGUUCGAUUAG
rnacentral:rRNA from 1 species